rnacentral:rRNA from 1 species
UACGGGGGGGGCAAGCGUUGUUCGGAAUUACUGGGCGUAAAGCGCGCGUAGGCGGAUCUGCAAGUCGGGGGUGAAAGCCCGGGGCUCACCCCCGGAAGUGCAUUGGAAACUGACGGACUCGAGUCCCGGAGAGGAGGGUGGAAUUCCUGGUGUAGCGGUGAAAUGCGUAGAUAUCAGGAGGAACACCGGUGGCGAAGGCGGCCCUCUGGACGGUGACUGACGCUGAGACGCGAAAGCGUGGGGAGCAAACAGG